ensembl:lncRNA
UAAGGGGCUAUGGGGUGGUUAUGGGGUGUGUAUGGGGUGGCUAUGGGGUGAAUAUGGGGGGUAUGUGCUCAGGGAGGAGCUAUGGGGUGGGUAUGGGGUGAAUAUGGGGUGGGUAUGGGGUGAAUAUGGGGUGGGUAUGGGGUCAGGGAGGGGCUGUGGGGUAUGGGGUGGUUAUGGGGUGGCUAUGGGGGUAGGGAAGGGCUAUAGGGUGGGUAUGGGGUGGUUAUGGGGUGGUUAUGGGGUGGCUAUGGGGUCGGGAAGGGGCUGUGGGGUGGGUAUAGGGUCACAGGCUGUGGGGUGGCUAUGGGGUGGCUAUGGGUUGGGGAUGGGGUGGUUAUGGGGUGAACAUGGGGUGGCUAUGGGGGCAGGGAGGGGCUAUGGGGUGGGUAUGGGGUGAAUAUGGGGUGGGUAUAGGGUCAGGGAGGGGCCGUGGGGUGGCUAUGGGGUUGGUAUGGGGUGGGUCUUGCUGUGGGUCUCUAUGUGUCUCUAUGGGUUCCUAUGGGUCUCUAUGUCUCUCUGUGUGUCUCUAUGGGUCUCUGUGUCUUGCUAUAGGUCCUUAUAUCUUGCUAUGGGUCUCUAUGGGUCGCUAUGGGUCUCUAUGGGUCUCUAUUGGUCUCUAUGUGUGUCUAUGGGUUGCUAUGGGUCGCUGUGGGUUUUUCUAUGGGUCAAUGUCUCUCUAUGGGUCGCUGUGUCUCCUUAUGUAUCUCAGUGUCUCUCUAUGUGUCUCUAUGUGUCCCUAUGUGUCUCUAUGGGUCUCAAUGUGUCCCUAUGGGUCUCACUGUGUCCCUAUGUCUCUCUAUGGGUCUCUAUGUGUCCCUAUGGGUCUCUAUGUGUCCCUAUGGGUCUCUAUGUGUCCCUAUGUCUCUCUAUGUGUCCCUAUGGGUCUCAAUGUCUCUCUAUGGGUCUCAAUGUGUCCCUAUGGGUCUCUAUGUGUCCCUAUGUCUCUCUCUGUGUCCCUAUGGGUCUCAAUGUCUCUCUAUGGGUCUCAAUGUGUCCCUAUGGGUCUCUAUGUGUCCCUAUGUCUCUCUCUGUGUCCCUAUGCGUCUCUAUGGGUCUCAAUGUCUCCCUAUGUCUCUCUAUGUGUCCCUAUGGGUCUCAAUGUCUCUAUCUCUCUAUGUGUCCCUAUGGGUCACUAUGGGUCUCUGUGUCUCUCUAUGGGUCCCUAUGUGUCCCUAUGUCUCUCUAUGUGUCCCUAUGGGUCUCACUGUGUCCCUAUGUCUCUCAAUGUGUCCCUAUGGGUCUCAGUGUGUCCCUAUGUGUCCCUAUGGGUCCCUAUGUGUCCUUAUGUCUCUCUAUGGGUCUCACUGUGUCCCUAUGGGUCUCACUGUGUCCCUAUGUGUCUCCAUGUGUCUCUAUGGGUCUCUAUGUGUCCCUAUGGGUCCCUAUGGGUCUCAAUGUCUCUCUAUGGGUCUCACUGUGUCCCUAUGUGUCUCUAUGUGUCCCUAUGGGUCUCACUGUGUCCCUAUGUCUCUCUAUGGGUCUCACUGUGUCCCUAUGUGUCCCUAUGGGUCGCUAUGGGUCCCAGUCCCCCCGCAGUCCGUGUCCAUCUCGUUGUCCCCCCGCUCCCCCCGUCCCGGUUCGUUGUUGGAACUGACCUGCAGCGCCGGCAGCGCCCGACCAGCCCCCACCCUGCAAUGGGACAUCGACGGGACCACGUGGGUACAGCCCCACAGCGCCCCAUAGAGACCCAUAUACCCCCAUACAGCCCCAUAGCGCCCCAUAGAGACACGUACAGCCCCAUAUAACCCCAUACAGCCCCAUAGAGACCCAUAGAGCCCCAUAUAACCCCAUAGAGCCCCAUAGAGACCCAUACAGCCCCAUAGUGCCCCAUAUAGCCCCAUAUAACCCCAUACAGCCCCACAGCACCCCAUAGCAACCCACAGAGCCCCAUAGAGACACGUACAGCCCCAUAUAACCCCAUACAGCCCCAUAGCGCCCCAUAGAGACACAUACAGCCCCAUAUAACCCCAUACAGCCCCAUAGAGACACAUAGAGCCCCAUAUAACCCCAUACAGCCCCAUAGAGAUACAUACAGCACCAUAUAACCCCAUACAGCCCCAUAGUGCCCCAUAAAGACCCAUAUAGCCCCAUAUAACCCCAUACAGCCCUAUAGUGGCCCAUAUAGCCCCAUAUAGCCCCAUAUAACCCCAUACAGCCCUAUAGUGCCCCAUAGAGACACAUACAGCCCCAUAUAACCCCAUACAGCCCUAUAGUGCCCCAUAGAGACACAUACAGCCCCAUAUAACCCCAUACAGCCCCAUAGUGCCCCAUAGAGACCCAUAUAGCCCCAUAUAACCCCAUAUAGCCCAAUAGCGCCCCAUAGAGACCCAUACAGCCCCACAGCACCUCAUAGCGACCCACAGCGCUCCAUAGAGACACAUACAGCCCCAUAGCGCCCCAUAGAGACACAUACAGCCCCAUAUAACCCCAUACAGCCCCAUAGCAUCCCAUUGGGCCCAUAGCAUCCCAUAGCGCCCCAUAGCAUUCCCCCACUGUGCCCCAUAGCGCCCCAUAGUAUCCUAUUGUGCCCCAUAGCGCCCCAUAGAGCCCCAUUGUGCCCAAUAGAGCCCCAUAGAGCCCCAUAGAGCCCCAUUGCGCCCCAUAGAGCCCCAUAGAACCCCAUAGAGCACCAUAGGGCCCAUUGUGCCCCAUAGAGCCCCAUUGUGCCCCAUAGAGCCCCAUUGCGCCCCAUAGAGCCCCAUUG